rnacentral:rRNA from 1 species
CCUACGGGAGGCUGCAGUAGGGAAUCUUCCACAAUGGACGAAAGUCUGAUGGAGCAACGCCGCGUGUGUGAUGAAGGGUUUCGGCUCGUAAAACACUGUUGUAAGAGAAGAAUGACAUUGAGAGUAACUGUUCAGUGUGUGAUGGUAUCUUACCAGAAAGGAACGGCUAAAUAAGGGCCAGCGGGCGCUGUGAUAUUAAUGUUCCUAGCGCGCUCCGGAGUGAAUGGGCGUAAAGCAGGCGCAGACGGUUGAGUAAGUCCGAAGUGAAAGCCCACGGCUUAACCGUGGAAGUGCUUUGGAAACUGGAGAACUUGAGGGCAGGAGAGGAGAGUGGAACUCCAUGUGUAGCGGUGAAAUGCGUAGAUAUAUGGAAGAACACCAGUGGCGAAGGCGGCUCUCUGGACUGUAACUGACGUUGAGGUUCGAAAGUGUGGGUAGCAAACAGGAUUAGAUACCCUGGUAGUC